rnacentral:rRNA from 1 species
GGCUUAGAAGCAGCCACUCAUUAAAAGAGUGCGUAAUAGCUCACUGGUCGAGUGAUUCUGCGCCGAAAAUUUAACGGGGCUAAAUUGUACACCGAAGCUUGGGAUACAUCUAAUGUAUGGUAGGAGAGCGUUGUAUACGGGGUGAAGUCAGAGCGGAAGCGCUGGUGGACUGUAUACAAGUGAGAAUGCCGGAAUGAGUAGCGAGAAUUAUGUGAGAAUCAUAAUGGCCGAAAGACUAAGGUUUUAGAAGGAAGGUUCGUCCGCUUCUAGUCAGCCGGGAGCUAAGGCGAGGCCGAAAGGCGUAGUCGAUGCACAUACGGUGGAGAUUCCGUAGCCGCCAUUAAUUUAAACAGAGGGACACUUUCAAGGGGCAUGACCCGGGCGUUGGUAGACCCGGGCGUAAGGGACCGAAGAUUAGUAGGGAAGCAUGCUUUAAGGAAGGCGAGAAAAGCUCUGUGUAUAGAAGAUGGCGCCCGUACCGCAAACCGACACAGGUAGUCAGGAAGAGAAUUCUAAGGCCAACGGGAGAAGGGUAGUUAAGGAACUCGGCAAAUUGACCCCGUAACUUCGGAAUAAGGGGUGCUCACGAGAGUGAGCCGCAGUGAAUAGGUCCAGGCGACUGUUUAUCAAAAACACAGCUCUCUGCUAAAUCGAAAGAUGACGUAUAGGGGGUGACACCUGCCCGGUGCUGGAAGGUUAAGAGGAAGGGUGCAAGCUCUGAAUUGAAGCCCCAGUAAACGGCGGCCGUAACUAUAACGGUCCUAAGGUAGCGAAAUUCCUUGUCGGGUAAGUUCCGACCCGCACGAAUGGUGUAACGAUCUGGACACUGUCUCAACUACCCACCCGGCGAAAUUGUAGUACCGGUGAAGAUGCCGGUUACCCGCGGCAAGACGGAAAGACCCCAUGGAGCUUUACUGUAACCUGAUAUUGGGUUUCGGUAUUUUAUGUACAGGAUAGGUGGGAGACUAUGAAACUAAGGCGCCAGCCUUAGCGGAGUCGCCCUUGGGAUACCACUCUUAAAGUACUGAAAUUCUAACCUGCGGCCGUGAAUCCGGUCGGGGGACAUUGUCAGGCGGGCAGUUUGACUGGGGCGGUCGCCUCCAAAAGAGUAACGGAGGCGCUCAAAGGUUCGCUCAGCAUGGUCGGAAACCAUGCCUUAGAGUGUAAACGCAAAAGCGAGCCUAACUGCGAGGCUGACGGGCCGAGCAGUAACGAAAGUUGGAGUUAGUGAUCCGGCGGUAUGUGAAUGGAAAUGCCGUCGCUCAACGGAUAAAAGCUACCCUGGGGAUAACAGGCUGAUCUCCCCCAAGAGUCCACAUCGACGGGGAGGUUUGGCACCUCGAUGUCGGCUCAUCGCAUCCUGGGGCUGAAUUCGGUCCCAAGGGUUUGGCUGUUCGCCAAUUAAAGCGGUACGCGAGCUGGGUUCAGAACGUCGUGAGACAGUUCGGUCCCUAUCUGUCGUGGGCGUAGGAUAUUUGAAGAGCGCUGUCCCUAGUACGAGAGGACCGGGAUGGACGCACCGCUGGCGCAUCGGUUGUCAUGCCAAUGGCACGGCCGAGCAACUAUGUGCGGUUUGGAUAAACGCUGAAAGCAUCUAAGCGUGAAGCCAUCUCUAAGAUAAGAUAUCCCAUAGCAUAAGCUAGUAAGACCCCUCAAAGACUAUGAGGUUGAUAGGCUGCGUGUGUAAGUACGGCGACGUAUUUAGCUUGGCAGUACUAAUAGGUCGAGGGCUUGACCUU